rnacentral:rRNA from 1 species
AGGAUUAACGCUGGCGGCGUGCCUAACACAUGCAAGUCGAACGAGGUAGCAAUACCUAGUGGCAGACGGGUGAGUAACGCGUGGUCAACCUACCGUUGAGUGGGGGAUAACUAGCCGAAAGGUUAGCUAAUACCGCAUACGUCUCCGAGGGGCAUCCCUUGGCGAUAAAAGGAGCAAUCCGCUCGAUGACGGGACCGCGUCCCAUUAGCUAGAUGGUGGGGUAACGGCCUACCAUGGCACCGAUGGGUAGCUGGUUUGAGAGAGCGACCAGCCACACUGGGACUGAGAAACGGCCCAGACUCCUACGGGAGGCAGCAGUGAGGAUUUUCCGCAAUGGGCGCAAGCCUGACGGAGCGACGCCGCGUGUGGGAAGAAGGCCUUCGGGUCGUAAACCACUGUCGAAGGGGACGAUAAUGACGGUACCCGAGGAGAAGCCCCGGCUAACUACGUGCCAGCAGCCGC